GACGGGGACUGCCGGCGACAAGUCGGAGGAAGGUGGGGAUGACGUCAAAUCAUCAUGCCCCUUAUGACCUGGGCUACACACGUGCUACAAUGGGCGGUACAAAGGGCUGCGAACCCGCGAGGGGGAGCGAAUCCCAAAAAGCCGCUCUCAGUUCGGAUUGCAGGCUGCAACUCGCCUGCAUGAAGCCGGAAUCGCUAGUAAUCGCGGAUCAGCAUGCCGCGGUGAAUACGUUCCCGGGCCUU
rnacentral:rRNA from 1 species